GAUGAAACGUAGCGAAAUGCGAUAAGUAAUGUGAAUUGCAGAAUUCCGUGAAUCAUCGAAUCUUUGAACGCACAUUGCGCCCUCUGGUAUUCCGCAGGGCAUGCCUGUUCGAGCGUCAUUUCAACCCUCAAGCCCCGCUUGGUGUUGGGCCCCGCCCGCUGUGGCCGGCCCUAAAGACAGUGGCGGCGCCGCCUGGCCCUCAGCGUAGUACAUCUCUCGCUCCAGGGUCCGGUGGCCGCCUGCCAGAACCCCCCAACUCUGUGGUUGACCUCGGAUCAGGUAGGGAUACCCGCUGAACUUAAGCAUAUCAAUAAGCGGAGGA
rnacentral:misc_RNA from 1 species